GACGAACGCUGGCGGCGUGCUUAACACAUGCAAGUCGAACGGUGAAAGCGGAGCUUGCUCCGCUGGAUCAGUGGCGAACGGGUGAGUAACACGUGGGCAACCUGCCCCUCACUUCGGGAUAACUCCGGGAAACCGGGGCUAAUACCGGAGAUGACCUGCCUGGGCAUCCUGUGAGGUGGUAAGUUGUUCGGUGGGGGAUGGGCCCGCGGCCUCUCAGCUUGUUGGUGAGGUAGUGGCUCACCAAGGCGACGACGGGGAGCCGGCCUGAGAGGGCGACCGGCCACACUGGGACUGAGACACGGCCCAGACUCCUACGGGAGGCAGCAGUGGGGAAUAUUGCGCAAUGGGCGAAAGCCUGACGCAGCAACGCCGCGUGCGGGAUGACGGCCUUCGGGUUGUAAACCGCUUUCAGCAGGGAAGAAGCGAAAGUGACGGUACCUGCAGAAAAAGCACCGGCUAACUACNUGCCAGCCGCCGCGGUAA
rnacentral:rRNA from 1 species